AUACUCAGUUCAUUAAUUAAAUUGACAUACUUGUGUGAAUUUUAAUCACUUAAUCAAGUAGCAAAAAUUUUUCACAAUUCAAUGAAAAGCACAAAGAUCAAAUGCUGCUUCUUUCUAAACCUAAAAUCUCAGGCAUCAGGAAUCAUUUAAGGAGACAUGGUGUAGUUUAUUGAGCAAAACAAGCCAAUCAGGGACAUAUUCUGAAAAGGUCAAUAUGAGUAAAAAGCAAUAAAGUCACAAAAAUAAACUUUCCACCAAAAAUCAAACUGCUGACAAUGCUUUCAAUUUCUUCCUCAAGAGAAUAAACCCAAUGCCAGAAUCAUAUGAGGAAACCCACAAAGCUCAAAGAAAGAACACAUGAAGCUCAAUGGUUGAUUUUUCAUCAUGGCCCAUGUAAAUCAUUGUUUGGCAGUGGCACAACAACAAAACCAAAAUAAAGGUGCCACUAAGUACUUCCAAAAGCAUAGUGAAGUGUUAUGUAAAAAGUGUUAUAAGUAACUUGUAUAUUAGAUAGUAGAGAGAGAGAAUUCUUAAAUUGUUG
rnacentral:misc_RNA from 1 species